AUGUUUCCCUGGCAGGGGAAAUAUAAUCAUGCAGGUGGUUUUUCCCGGGCAAGGCUUUCCAGUUGCACUUGAGGCACACUGAACCUCUGCGAUUUCUCCACAUAGGAGAAACUCGACCACAUAAUUUGUGAUCUGUGUAUUCUUUUAAAAAUGACCUUU